rnacentral:rRNA from 1 species
CACGUAGGGUGCGAGCGUUGUCCGGAAUUAUUGGGCGUAAAGAGCUCGUAGGCGGUCUGUCGCGUCGAUCGUGAAAACUUGGGGCUUAACCCUGAGCUUGCGGUCGAUACGGGCAUGACUGGAGUUCGGCAGGGGAGACUGGAAUUCCUGGUGUAGCGGUGAAAUGCGCAGAUAUCAGGAGGAACACCGGUGGCGAAGGCGGGUCUCUGGGCCGAUACUGACGCUGAGACGCGAAAGCGUGGGGAGCAAACAGG